rnacentral:misc_RNA from 1 species
AGGAUGGAGUCGUGAAGGUCUUGAAUUUGGAGGAAGGAGGUGCGUUUACCUUCAGUAGUGCUGAGGACAUCCUCAAAGUUCUUUGAAUGAGAUAAGAAUAAGAUAUGGAGGUUCCUUUCUUUUUCUUCUGGGCGCUAUCAUUUUCUUUCUGCUUGUUUGUUGGUUCUCUCACUGGGUAGCAAUUUCAAUUUUGGCGAAUAAAUGAGAUCAAAUGCAUCUGUU